rfam:Ovis aries breed Texel chromosome 15, whole genome shotgun sequence.
UCCCUGGUGGCUCAGAGGUUAAAGCGUCUGCCUCCAAUGCAGGAGACCCAGGUUUGAUCCCUGGGUUGGGAA